GACUAAUUAAUAGCUCUGGUCUGAACCCUCGAAGCAGUGCACUCUGGGAGUGAGCGCCUUCAAGGAGCCUCUGAUCACACAGCUGAGCAGUGUGCAGAACAGACCCGGCUCGUAUUUUGGUUUCCAUUUCAGACUCAGCAGGUGGUGGGUGAGUGAGGGUGAGUGAGGGUGAGAGUGUGUGUGUGUGUGUGUGUGUGUGUGUGUGUUCGGGAGACUGGACAGGGAAUUCAGAAGCCAGCAUGUUUUUUUCUUUUUCGUUUUGCAGGAAUAAAGUGACAUUUUAAGGUUUGUGAUCAUUAGUUUGUGUCGAGCUGCCGUUUCCAUGACGACCCUUCUUUUCUGUGAAUGUGUGAAAAGAUUCUAAAGUUGUCGUCUCCUUGCGGCGAGGGUGUUUUUGAGAAGGAAGACUUGUUCUUCAAGGUCUCGUUCAGGGAGUAACCCUGGACGGGGUUUUGCGUUGUGAAAAUGAAAAUGUUACUCGUUCUUAGAACGUGGAGUUUACAGAAUAUUAAAGCUAUUGAGAUUACUGAGGUAAUAAAUCGGGUCAGAGGUUGUUUACAGCUGGAGGAGUCGCCCCCUGAUGGUCAGCAGACAGAAUGCAAGUUUAAGAGCCUUGAAUUGGCCUAAAUUUUCACAACUGUAGUUUGCCGCUUGAUUAAAAGUAAAUCAGAGAAACAAUAACUCCACCCAGUUUAAAUGGACCUCUAAAAUAAGAGCGAGGAUGGGAAUGAGGAUCGGGCUGCUCUCAGGUCCGGGUUAGACUUUUCUCUUGGGAGGUGGGUCGCUGAGUCCUGAUGAGCAGCUGGUGGUGUGUUCGUGUCGCGUGUGUCAGUCAACGGUCGACAUGGCUGAAACCUCUGAUUCGGACCACUAACUCACCCUCAGGAGGGCGGGCGGUCCCCCCUUUGAGACCAGAGAGUUAGUAUCUUAUCUAAGGAGGAUGGACUUUCAACCCUCAGGUCAGUGUAACAGAUCAGAUUACAGCGGAGAGGCUCCUGACCCAAACAUUUUAAUCAUUAAACUGGGUCCUGGUUGUAAUUUAAAUUACUUUAUAUUUGUCUGGCGCUCUUCUGAAACACACACAAGCUUUUUGCUUUGGGUUAAAAAAAAAUUCCCUUCAUCACUAUGACAGUCACCUCUCAUGUACAAGGCGAUGUCAUUUUAGCAGUUUCCCACAUUAUGUUGGAACGGGGCUCUUGGUACUAGUUACCUGAAGAGCACUGCUGAUGGUUUGAAUCUUUGAACGCUGGGUUUUUAUUUUGGCAUCCGGCCUCUCAGUGGGACGUCCGGCCAUCUGCGCCUGAACACUUAGUUAUGAGAAAACGUCCAAACGGACACCAGCAAAGUAAGACCCACACACACACACGCGGGUAUAUCCACCUGCCAACAGAGGACGACAUGUGAGCCACAGAAAGAAGCCCCCCCCCCGUCUGUCACAGAAGGCCUCAAGUGUGAGUGUGUGACGCAGCCGUCAGCCUAAUUAUCAGGGUGGAAGGAAGCCCGACACAUCGCCAGCAGCUCUCCAAACGUCCUCUGCUGCCACACACCGCCGCCCCCUCGGGGGGCUGUGAGUGUGUGUGAGACGGUCCGGGGUCUCUCUCUUUUUGCACAGCGGGACAGGUAGAGGACUUUGAAAGACGAGCUCUCCUGCUGGAGGGACAGACGGAUCAAAUUAGUGCUCUUCACAGCCACAAAAGAAGUCGCUCGCACUUCUUUGGGACAAGCUGCACAAUGCGAAGGGCCGUUUAAAAAAAACGCUCUUGUAGCCCCGUCUUUCCCACCAGGACGACGUCCACAGAAAUGAAACAUCUUCUUGCUCAAGAGGUUGUCCCUCGUCGGAGUGCAAAUCGUCAUCUUACAAAACCUCCAAAUGUUGUUCAGCCCCAAUAAGCGUAACAAAUAAUUAUUAUGAGAGUACUGAUGAUGAGUACGAGCCAAUCAGAGGCGUAGUAAAGGGAAGUACAGGACCAAAUAAGGACGCAACGUCUCGCCCACAUAUUAUUACUAGUGUGAAGAUAAAUAUAAAAAGAUAUAAAAUACUUCAGCUGAACAGGCAACAGUUUUUAGUGGAAGUUUGUUAGUUUUGAUCUUUUUUAUGGGAUUCAUUGACAGUAAAGAAAAUAGGAAAUCUCUCAUCCUUUAACUGGAGCACAGGACGAGUACGCAGUAAAAAGGUACAAAGAAAGAACUCUAAAUAAUAAUAAUUUAUUUAAUAAAAUGCAACGUCUCAAAUGUCUCCCAUUGGUUCUCAGUGGCGGGGUCUCUGUGAAAAACAAUUGGCGGCGACUUCAGCGACUCCCCGCCGGUGCAAAAGGCCGAGGCUCCGGGACACGAGUCCAAGCGGCCGAGGCUCCGGGACACGAGUCCAAGCGGCCGAGGCUCCGGGACACGAGUCCAAACGUCCGAGGCUCCAAAACACUCCGGCGCCAUUAUCAAAACCACAAUUCAUCUCAUUCUUAAAAAAGCGAUCUGGGCGCAAUUGAUGGCGAGCAUCAGGGCUGCCCGCCCGGCGGGAAGCUAGCGGGGUCGUGACCUUGUGAGGAUGUUUCAUCCUCUCCUGGUCUUCCUGUACAGUAAUACCUCAGCUGGAUCAUUUGGUCCGUAAAGCUUAAGACUUUCUGGGAAAUUGGAUUUGAAGCUGAGCGAAGGCCCCGGAGGCUGGAAGGCGACUCUUUUUUUCAUCCUUCUUUCCUCUGUAUUUUUAC
ensembl:lncRNA